GACGAACGCUGUCGGCGUGCUUAACACAUGCAAGUCGAACGGAAAGGCCCUGCUUUUGUGGGGUGCUCGAGUGGCGAACGGGUGAGUAACACGUGAGUAACCUGCCCUUGACUUUGGGAUAACUUCAGGAAACUGGGGCUAAUACCGGAUAGGAGCUCCUGCUGCAUGGUGGGGGUUGGAAAGUUUCGGCGGUUGGGGAUGGACUCGCGGCUUAUCAGCUUGUUGGUGGGGUAGUGGCUUACCAAGGCUUUGACGGGUAGCCGGCCUGAGAGGGUGACCGGCCACAUUGGGACUGAGAUACGGCCCAGACUCCUACGGGAGGCAGCAGUGGGGAAUAUUGCACAAUGGGCGGAAGCCUGAUGCAGCAACGCCGCGUGCGGGAUGACGGCCUUCGGGUUGUAAACCGCUUUCGCCUGUGACGAAGCGUGAGUGACGGUAAUGGGUAAAGAAGCACCGGCUAACUACGUGCCAGCAGCCGCGGUGAUACGUAGGGUGCGAGCGUUGUCCGGAUUUAUUGGGCGUAAAGGGCUCGUAGGUGGUUGAUCGCGUCGGAAGUGUAAUCUUGGGGCUUAACCCUGAGCGUGCUUUCGAUACGGGUUGACUUGAGGAAGGUAGGGGAGAAUGGAAUUCCUGGUGGAGCGGUGGAAUGCGCAGAUAUCAGGAGGAACACCAGUGGCGAAGGCGGUUCUCUGGGCCUUUCCUGACGCUGAGGAGCGAAAGCGUGGGGAGCGAACAGGCUUAGAUACCCUGGUAGUCCACGCUGUAAACGGUGGGUACUAGGUGUGGGGUCCAUUCCACGGGUUCCGUGCCGUAGCUAACGCUUUAAGUACCCCGCCUGGGGAGUACGGCCGCAAGGCUAAAACUCAAAGGAAUUGACGGGGCCCCGCACAAGCGGCGGAGCAUGCGGAUUAAUUCGAUGCAACGCGUAGAACCUUACCUGGGUUUGACAUGGAUCGGGAGUGCUCAGAGAUGGGUGUGCCUCUUUUGGGGUCGGUUCACAGGUGGUGCAUGGCUGUCGUCAGCUCGUGUCGUGAGAUGUUGGGUUAAGUCCCGCAACGAGCGCAACCCUUGUUCACUGUUGCCAGCACGUUAUGGUGGGGACUCAGUGGAGACCGCCGGGGUCAACUCGGAGGAAGGUGGGGAUGACGUCAAGUCAUCAUGCCCCUUAUGUCCAGGGCUUCACGCAUGCUACAAUGGCUGGUACAGAGAGUGGCGAGCCUGUGAGGGUGAGCGAAUCUCGGAAAGCCGGUCUCAGUUCGGAUUGGGGUCUGCAACUCGACCUCAUGAAGUCGGAGUCGCUAGUAAUCGCAGAUCAGCAACGCUGCGGUGAAUACGUUCCCCGGGCU
rnacentral:rRNA from 1 species